AAUGCAACACUAGGAGGUGCCCUGGGUUAAGUUCCUGGUGAGGAGAGAUGAAAUGGGAAAGGACGUCUCUGUCUGGAGGGAUUCAUGCUCCUUGGUAUCUACCCAAAGAAGAUGAAAACACGUCCACAUGGAAACCACUGAUGGAUGUUUCUAGCAGCUUUAUUCAUCAUGGCCGAAUCUUGAAAGCAACCAAGAUAUCCUUCAGUAGGUAAAUAGAUAAAUAAACCAUGACCAUCCUGAAGUGGAAUAUUAUUCAGUGCCAAAAAAAAGUGAACUACAAAGCCAGGAAAAGACAUGGAAGAACCUUAAAGGUACAUUACUGAGUGAAAGAAGCCAAUCUGAAAUGGCUACGUAUUGUACAAUUCCAACUAUGUGACAUUCUAGAAAAGGAAAUCUAUGGAGGCAGGAAAACGUGCAGUGGUUGCCAGGGUUAGGGAAGGCGGAUUGACUAGGCAGAGCAUGGAGGACUUCUACAACAGUGAGACUACUCCGUAUUAUCCUAUAAUGGUGGAUACACAUCAUGACACAUUUGUCCAGACCCACAGAAUGUACAACACCAAGAGUGAAGCCUCAUGUCAACUAUGGACUUUGGGUGAUUAUGAUGUCCAUGUAGGUUCAUCACUUGUCACCAAUGUGCCACUCUGGUGGGGGAUGUCGACAGUGGGAAAGGCUACAUGUGUGGGCACAGGGGGCAUACGAAAAAUCUCUGUAACUUUCCUCUCAGUUUUGCUCUGAAUCUAAAACUACUCUGUAAGAAGUCUUUUUAAAAAAAUAAAAAUAAAAAGCAUGAGUUGAUACAGAUGUGGGAGUUUGACUCCUAUCUCUGUCCAACUCUGUGACAUUUGAUAAAUCACUUAACGUGUCUUAGUUUGAGUUUCCUCAUCUAUAACUGGGAAAAAUAAUACCUACCUUAUAGAGCUGCCAUGGGGAGGCAGUGAGGCCUGUGUCCCGUUCAUAUCUGAUGUUCAAUGAACUAGUAGCAGUAGCCACUGUGUGUUUAUGUGUCUUUCUCCCUCACGGGUUAAUGAGCUCCUUGUGAGCAGGGACUUACUCGUUCUGUAACCACCCCAUCUAAUACACUGCCUGGCACCUGGGUUCUGUAGCAGUUUGCUGAGUGAAUAGUUAGUAAGCCCUAACCGAGGCUUUUCUCUCUGGUGGACAUUUGGGUUGCUUCUUGGGUUUUUGUUAUGAACAAAAUACAUUUCAAAGCC